rnacentral:rRNA from 1 species
GGCAGGCAGCAGUCGGGAAUAUUGCGCAAUGGGGGAAACCCUGACGCAGCGACACCGCGUAGAGGAAGAAGGUCUUCGGAUUGUAAACUCUUGUCGAUAGGGACGAAAAAUGACGGUACCUAUAGAGGAAGCCCCGGCUAACUACGUGCCAGCAGCCGCGGUAAUACGUAGGGGGCAAGCGUUGUCCGGAAUUACUGGGUGUAAAGGGCGUGUAGGCGGGAUAUUAAGUCAGAUGUGAAAGUCCACGGCUCAACUGUGGGAUUGCAUCUGAAACUGAUAUUCUUGAGUGCAGGAGAGGAAAGCGGAAUUCCUAGUGUAGCGGUGAAAUGCGUAGAUAUUAGGAGGAACACCAGUGGCGAAGGCGGCUUUCUGGACUGUAACUGACGCUGUGACGCGAAAGCGUGGGGAGCAAACAGGAUUAGAUACCUUGGUAGUCCACGCCGUAAACGACGGAUACUAGGUGUAGGAGGUAUCGACCCCUUCUGUGCCGGCGUUAACACAAUAAGUAUCCCACCUGGGGAGUACGGCCGCAAGGUUGAAACUCAAAGGAAUUGACGG